UGAAGAAAGAAGAAGACAUGAGGAAGUUUUGCCGCGUUUCUUUGUUUUGGAUCUUCAGGCGCAGUUUUUUGACGUUUCGAUACUUCAGAAACCUUUUUAUUUCGCUUACGAAUAACGAGCUAAACGCAGUUUUAUGAUUCUGUGUUGAUUGAACCCAUAUGAGCUAAUUUAGUAUUCAGCGUCUCUGUCGUCUAGCCACUGUAGCUAGUUAACGUUAGCUAGCAACACAGGAGCCUUUCUUGACGUCAGUCGCUAAGGCUUGCUCAUAUCGUGGGCCGGCUGGAGAGCUCAAAGAAAAGACGGAAGAAAAGAAAGUCUUACUACUCAAAGAUAAAGGAAAAAGAAAACCCAAAGGAAUGGAGAAGGAAACUGAAAAAAAGAGGCACCGAUUCACCCCUGGAGAUGAGGAUCUUAUUAUUUCAGGGGUACUUGGGCACUGGGAGGACCUCUUCGGUGCCCAGGCCCACAUUCGCCCCCGGGGGUCAAAGACGGCAACCUGGAACACCAUCGCGGGGACCUUGACCCCUACAUCAGCUGUGGCGAGAUGUGGUGAUGAUGUCCGGAAGAAGUACAAUCUCAUAAGGAGCCAAAUCAAGCAAAAGGUUUCUUCUAUCCGGACAUUGUCCACCCAGACUGGUGGGGGGCCCAACACCGUGCCGGCGCUGACCGACCUGGAGCAGCAACUGCUUUCCCGAAUGGCAGAGACCGAAGCUGGUGUAGGGCCUGCUGAUUUGGGAUUUGGUCUCUCUCAGGGAGAAAUCUCCAGCUCUGGUCCCCUACCAGCAGCACAGGGAACUGUGGAGUCAGCUUUACCCUCUGUCACCAUGGAGGAGCUACCCUCCACCUCGCCAUCAACACCUUGGCCAGCACCAACAGUGCCACCCCAACCCAUCACCUCCCGUCCUGCACCAUCUCACUCUGGCUCUACACCCCAACCCAUCACCUCCCGUCCUGCACCAGCUCACUCAAUCCAGGCUCAAUCAAUGAAUCAAAUUUAUUUUAUAAAGCCCUUUUUACAUCAGCAGUUGUCACAAAGUGCUUUACAAAUACCUAGCUUAAAACCCCAAAUAGCAAGCAAUGCAGAUGCACUCUCUGGCUGUAAACCCCAACCCAUCACCUCCUGUCCUGCACCAUCUCACUCCAUCCACUCUGGCUCUACACCCCAACCCAUCACCUCCUGUCCUGCACCAUCUCACUCUGGCUCUACACCCCAACCCAUCACCUCCUGUCCUGCACCAUCUCACUCCAUCCACUCUGGCUCUACACCCCAACCCAUCACCACCUGUCCUGCACCAUCUCACUCUGGCUCUACACCCCAACCCAUCACCUCCUGUCCUGCACCAUCUCACUCCAUCCACUCUGGCUCUACAUCCCAACCCAUCACGUCUGGCUGGACACCACAGGGCCCCCAAGCCAAUCUGUUCCAACAAAUCCUGGACACACAAACACAACAAAUCCAUGUUACACAGACCGCCCAACACAUCCACCAAGCUCUUUAUGAUUUAUUACAAAAAGCACAUGAAACACAGAAGGCACACCUGGAUGUGGAGAAGAACCGGCUCCAGCUGGAUAGAGAGCGCUUGAGGGUGGAGACAGAGCGCCUGCAGGUGGAGAGGGAGCGCCUUCAGCUGGAGAAGGAUCGCCUGGGGGAAGGGGAGGCCCGGGAGGUGCUUCGGCAGCUCUCUGUCUCCGGGUCAGUCGCCCUAGAACACCAGACGCCUGUGAGUUCAAGAACUGCCAGUGCCUCCCCCACCCUUCCUCUGGGAACACCAUCAGCCUCCAUGUCCAGUCCCCUCACAUUAAUAUCACCUACUGCACCACACUUUGAUUUCUUAUUUUCCCCAUUCCCAUUACCGGUAAUCACAACCCAUUCCACCCAGCCUUCACAAACUGCCCCAACCCCCCUACCUUAACCAGCCCUGCCCCAACCUCCCCUACCUUAACCAGCCCUGCCCCAACCUCCCCUACCUUAACCAGCCCUGCCCCAACCUCCCCUACCUUAACCAGCCCUGCUCCAACCACCCCUACCUUAACCGUUUCUGCCCACUCUCUCAUCCCUACAAUCUCCGGAUCUGUUAAACGGCGAGUUCAGGAGACAGUCCGGCCUUGGUCUACACCCACUGCUAAGAAUAAAAAACAUCAAUAAACAAAUAAUGUAAUAAAA
rnacentral:lncRNA from 1 species